UACGUAGGGGGCAAGCGUUGUCCGGAUUUAUUGGGCGUAAAGAGCGUGUAGGCGGCCAUGCAGGUCCGUUGUGAAAACUCGAGGCUCAACCUCGAGACGCCGGUGGAAACCGUGUGGCUAGAGUCCGGAAGAGGAGAGUGGAAUUCCUGGUGUAGCGGUGAAAUGCGCAGAUAUCAGGAAGAACACCCGUGGCUAAGGCGGCUCUCUAGUACGGUACUGACGCUGAGACGCGAAAGCGUGGGGAGCGAACAGG
rnacentral:rRNA from 1 species